rnacentral:rRNA from 1 species
GAAUAUUGGACAAUGGGGGGAACCCUGAACCAGCCAUGACGCGUGUGUGAAGAAGGCCUUUUGGUUGUAAAGCACCUUAACCGAGGCGGCGGAGCUCUCCGUGCAUACCCAUGAUGCUUGGACGUUACUCGCAGAAUCAGCUCCACCGAACUCUGUGCACACAGCCGCGGUAAUACAGAGGGUGCAAGCGUUAAUCGGAUUUACUGGGCGUAAAGCUCGCGUAGGUGGCCAAUUAAGUCUAAUGUGAAAUCCCCGAGCUUAACUUGGGAAUUGCAGUCGAUACUGGUUGGCUAGAGUAUGGAAGAGGAUGGUAGAAUUCCAGGUGUAGCGGUGAAAUGCGUAGAGAUCUGGAGGAAUACCGAUGGCGAAGGCAGCCAUCUGGCCUAAUACUGACACUGAGGUGCGAAAGCAUGGGGAGCAAACA